UUAAAUAAAUUUGAUUUUUUAUUUUGUAGAAAUAUGCCCUGAGUGCCGGCUUUUAUUUUUUUAAAUGUCCUCUUUGCAAUAAUUCUUCUGACUUCAUCAAAGAAAUGCAAGUGCAUGGGAUCUGUAUUCCUGAGAAAGAUGCGUCAUGGGAACUUGAAACAAAUGCAUUUGGAGAACUUCUUCAUCGGCCAGAAUGUGGAGCUGUUACCUGUCACUGCACUCGUGGACGAAAGUACAGUGGGAAAAAAUAUAGUUCUUGGGAUUUGGUGUCCUGCUCAGAUUGUGGAUCUACUGCCAGGCAUAAAUAUUGCGAAAAUUUAAAGAGAAGUGAAACAUCCUGGUUAUGCAAUGAAUGCAGAGUAUUUGAAGAUGAAAUUAAGAAGAAAAAGCAGAGUGCUGUGAAUUAUUUUCCCAGAGUAGUCUGUAAAUUAGUAGACAUUAAGACAAGUACUUCAUUGUCAAAUUUUAAGAAUAAUGAACCCUUGUCAGAAACUUUUAUUAAAACAUUUCAAUCGGAUAUUGUGGGUGAAGCGUGUCAACUUGAUAUUGUGAAUAAGGUGUGUCAACCGGAUACCAGUGAUGAAACAUAUCAACAAGACACUAGCAAUGGAGCAUAUCAACUGAAUACUGAAAGUGAAGCACAACAGAAAGAUAAGGAAGUUGGAACAUUUCAGUCAUUGAAUAUUGAGGAAGGAGCAACUCUGUUGGUUAAUGGUGAUAACAGUUUGCUUUCAUCCGAUUGUGCUAUAUCUUAUAAUAAAGCAGAGCUUAAUUUGGAUACACACUCUCAUAAUGUUGCUGGAAAAUCCGAUUUUUAUGUCAAGGACCAUAAUUUAAAUUUGAUGCAAUUAUCAGAAACUGAAGAUGUACCAGAUGGUAGUUGCAAUAUCAAAAGCCUUGAAGAGGUAGGUGAAUGUUCAAAAUCAAAGGCUGUUUCUAUUGACACUUCUGAAUCACAUUUGAGAAAUAAAACUAUAAACCAGUUGCAUAAUGAAUCAUCCCAAGUUACUUUAAAGCAUUUUGUCUCUAAAAGGGGGAAAAAGCGUAAAUUAGAAACUAAAUUGCCCAGAAAAGAUGCUUGCUGCGUGCAUCCAAACAAAUGCAUUAAACAAUUGUUGGGGUAUGAAUGUCAUAAAUAUAGGGUAUAAGUUUAGCUUGUGCAAUUAUAACUAUUGAUGAACUCAUCUUUUGUAUUACCAAAAUACCGUAUAUAGUCGAAAAUAUGGUACUUCUUGGAUAUAAGACCCUUUUUACCUUUUAAGAAAUGAAAACAUAGAUGAAUAAUUUUUGACUUCCAAUAAUUCUGAGAAAGAGUAUCUUCGUCUAAUGGUUGACAGGAUGGCAAAGCAAAGGACUCGAGGACUA
rnacentral:misc_RNA from 1 species